GGGGGUAUAGCUCAGUAGGCAGAGCAGUCGACUCAAGAUCGGAAGGUCCCGGGUUCGAUCCCCGAUGCCUCCA